rnacentral:rRNA from 1 species
AACGAACGCUGGCGGCAUGCCUAACACAUGCAAGUCGAACGAGACCUUCGGGUCUAGUGGCGCACGGGUGCGUAACGCGUGGGAACCUGCCCUUAGGUUCGGAAUAACUCCCCGAAAGGGGUGCUAAUACCGGAUAAUGUCUUCGGACCAAAGAUUUAUCGCCUUUGGAUGGGCCCGCGUUGGAUUAGCUAGUUGGUAGGGUAAAAGCCAACCAAGGCGACGAUCCAUAGCUGGUCUGAGAGGAUGAUCAGCCACACUGGGACUGAGACACGGCCCAGACUCCUACGGGAGGCAGCAGUGGGGAAUAUUGCACAAUGGGCGGAAGCCUGAUGCAGCAACGCCGCGUGCGGGAUGACGGCCUUCGGGUUGUAAACCGCUUUCGCCUGUGACGAAGCGUGAGUGACGGUAAUGGGUAAAGAAGCACCGGCUAACUACGUG